GAACGCACAUUGCGCCCCUUGGUAUUCCGGGGGGCAUGCCUGUUCGAGCGUCAUUAUCACCCCUCAAGCUCAGCUUGGUGUUGGGGCCUGCCCGUCACAGGGCAGCCCCUAAAAGCAGUGGCGGUGCCAUCUGGCUCUACGCGUAGUAAUACUUCUCGCGACAGAGUCCCGGUGGUGUCCUGCCAGAACCCCAAAUUUUAUCACGAUUGACCUCGGAUCAGGUAGGGAUACCCGCUGAACUUAAG
rnacentral:misc_RNA from 1 species